UACGAAGGGGGCUAGCGUUGCUCGGAAUCACUGGGCGUAAAGCGCACGUAGGCGGCUUUCUAAGUCAGGGGUGAAAUCCUGGAGCUCAACUCCAGAACUGCCUUUGAUACUGGAGAGCUUGAGUCCGGAAGAGGUGAGUGGAACUCCGAGUGUAGAGGUGAAAUUCGUAGAUAUUCGGAAGAACACCAGUGGCGAAGGCGGCUCACUGGUCCGGUACUGACGCUGAGGCACGAAGGCCAGGGGAGCAAACGGG
rnacentral:rRNA from 1 species